GCUAUGAUGUAAAAAGAAUGGAGACAAUGGUGGAUAUUGGGGGACCCUCUGCUGAUUUUAUGAGUAUGGUUGUCAUGGGGGCUGAUAUGAUGGCACCCACUUGCAUUUUAUAUGCUUCCGGUAUAAAAAAUUUACAAGUACAAAUACAGAUUCGAUCAAUUAGGAGGACCACUCAAGUGGCCCAGAAUAAAUACUGGAAGCAAGUAAUCUAUCAACAGAAUUUGGGCCCUUGUUUCAAACCAGCUGAGAUUGUAACCCAACCCAAGCCAAGCAAAAGCCCAAGACUAUCCCCCCUACCCCAACAUGUAAGAUGUUCCCUGCGUAUUUUUCAGGUUUCAUGUUGAUGAUAUAGUUAAAAGAUACAGGAGAUUGAAGUCGGUGAUCAAAACCCUUCACUCUUUCCAUCAAGCUUCCCUCUUGGAUCUUUCAUCAGUGACCAGCAAUUGACUGUGAAAAAAGAAGUAAAAAAAUGUCACAAACUAAUGAUGUUGAGGGUGUAAAGGAGAAGAAAGUGAUGAAUGAUGGUGAAAAAACUCUGUAACGCAUAUUUUGUAAUGGUUGCUCUUUUGUCUGGUGGAUGUUGUAAAAUUUCAAUAUUAUUAUUGUGCAUACAAAUUGUAGAAAUGUUUUAGGCCCAGUUGGGAGAGACCAAGAUUGUUGUCAGAUAUUCAUGUUAUUCAAAAACAACCAUUAGCAAAAUUAUUCAAGGAAAA